rnacentral:rRNA from 1 species
CGUAGGGUGCGAGCGUUGUCCGGAAUUACUGGGCGUAAAGAGCUCGUAGGUGGUUUGUCGCGUUGUUCGUGAAAACUCACAGCUCAACUGUGGGCGUGCGGGCGAUACGGGCAGACUGGAGUACUGCAGGGGAGACUGGAAUUCCUGGUGUAGCGGUGGAAUGCGCAGAUAUCAGGAGGAACACCGGUGGCGAAGGCGGGUCUCUGGGCAGUAACUGACGCUGAGGAGCGAAAGCGUGGGGAGCGAACAGGAUUAGAUACCCUGGUAGUCCACGCCGUAAACGGUGGGUACUAGGUGUGGGUUUCCUUCCUUGGGAUCCGUGCCGUAGCUAACGCAUUAAGUACCCCGCCUGGGGAGUACGGCCGCAAGGCUA